rnacentral:rRNA from 1 species
CCUACGGGGUGCAGCAGUGGGGAAUAUUGGGCAAUGGGCGCAAGCCUGACCCAGCAACGCCGCGUGAAGGAAGAAGGCUUUCGGGUUGUAAACUUCUUUUAAGGGGGAAGAGCAGAAGACGGUACCCCUUGAAUAAGCCACGGCUAACUACGUGCCAGCAGCCGCGGUAAUACGUAGGUGGCAAGCGUUGUCCGGAUUUACUGGGUGUAAAGGGCGUGCAGCCGGAGAGACAAGUCAGAUGUGAAAUCCACGGGCUCAACCCGUGAACUGCAUUUGAAACUGUUUCCCUUGAGUGUCGGAGAGGUAAUCAGAAUUCCUUGUGUAGCGGUGAAAUGCGUAGAUAUAAGGAAGAACACCAGUGGCGAAGGCGGAUUACUGGACGAUAACUGACGGUGAGGCGCGAAAGCGUGGGGAGCAAACAGGAUUAGAUACCCUUGUAGUC